rnacentral:rRNA from 1 species
UUGGAGGGCAAGUCUGGUGCCAGCAGCCGCGGUAAUUCCAGCUCCAAUAGCGUAUAUUAAAGUUGUUGCAGUUAAAAAGCUCGUAGUUGAAUUUCGGGGUUAGUAGGUUGGUCAUGCCUCUGGUAUGUACUGGUCUCACUGAUUCCUCCUUCCUGAUGAGCCGUAAUGCCAUUAAUUUGGUGUUGCGGGGAAUUUGGACUGUUACUUUGAAARAAUUAGAGUGUUUAAAGCAAGCUAACGCUUGAAUACAUUAGCAUGGAAUAAUGAAAUAGGACGUUCGAUCCUAUUUUGUUGGUUUCUAGGAUUGACGUAAUGAUUAAUAGGGAUAGUUGGGRGCAUUAGUAUUCAAUUGUCAGAGGUGAAAUUCUUGGAUUUAUUGAAGACUAACUACUGCGAAAGCAUUUGCCAAGGAUGUUUUCAUUAAUCAAGAACGAAAGUUAGGGGAUCGAAGACGAYCAGAUACCGUCGUAGUCUUAACCAUAAACUAUGCCGACUAGGGAUCGGAUGAUGUUAAUUUUUUAAUGACUCAUUCGGCGCCUUACGGGAAAC